CCUAUGAGGGGCAGUCAAAGACACGGUGUGGAGCAGAAAAUGCUCUGUUACAAUUUUUCCUGCAUGGGACACAUGACUGAGCUCUGCCUCCUGAGAUCUAAUUCCCCAUGGGUGAAAGAACUCAAGUGGGCAGAAGACUGGGGAGAGCUGCCUUGAUUAAUAUCGAACAUGAUACAGCUACUAGAACACUUGACACUUGGACAUUUUGAUGUUGGAAUGCUUACAGAACACUUUGGUGUUAGAAUGCUUACAAGACAUUUUGGUGUUGGAACGCUCAUGGGGUACUUCUCUUGUUGCCACGACAAAAACCUGGAGGAAGGAAGGAAUGCUAGAGAGGAAGAUCUUGCUUCAGCCCAGGCUUUGAGAGGCUGCAAACUCAUCAUGGUGGAGGAACCAUGGCAGAGAUCUUGGAAGCUCUGAGCUGCGGCAUCAGGUUGCUUGCGUCCAUCUUGAUGGGCCAGGAAACAGAGAUAAGUUGGGCUGUGAACCUUAAGACCUCCUUUCCCACUACCAACCUGCUUCCUUCAGUGAGCUCCCAGCUCCUAAAGGUUCUGCAGCCUCCACGUAUGGUAUGGUGGCACCCAGUGGGGAACAGGAAGUCUAACACAUGAGCCUGCAGGGAGGAUUUUGCACUCACCAUAAAGGAAUGUUCAGGGUACACCAUUCUCUGUAAAUAAUCCAUAUGACUCUUAUACUGAUGGGGCUAUCCUUUCUUCCUGUCCAUCUUUCCAUCUUAAAAUGGGUCUAAUCCUCUCAGUACCUACUUACUUCCUGCAUCCAACAGGAGCGUUUUGGCCAUGCCAGUAAGCAAGCAGCCUAAUAGCAUCAAGCAAAAUAGAUUCUUGGCACAUCUCAUUUAGACCUCGGGAAAAGAGCUGGUGUCAAGUACAAUGUUGUUUGAGAGCAUGGAGGUCAUGGAGGCUGCUCUCCUGUCCUCAGUUUCCCCAGCUGUCUUCAGUAAAAUGGUUCAUUCUUGGAAUUUCCACUGGGGGUCAUGGUGGUACCUCCAUGAGCCAUCUUCUUAUGAGCCAGUUAAGUGGCGCAGAGGAGAAAACAGUUUGCUUCCUAAGCUUGCUUCUCAGUAAUGUUGACUGACUAAUUGACUAGUUGGCUCAUGUGGUCACUCAUGGGAUGGAGAAGUCUACACUCAUAUUCUAUUCUAGCCCACAUAUAUCAUGCCUGGAGCCUGGGGGAGGAGCCUGCUAUGUGGGAAUAAUACACACUGAGGAUUGGACAGGGCAUCCCUGAAGCAAAGUUAAGCCUAGUGCCUCAUGGUGCAAAAGUGGGCACAAGGUGGCAGCCACAGUGGUCCCCUAACUCACCAUAGAACGCCAUCCAAGGAACAACUUGGACCAAUUUAAACCACAAACUGGUUACUUUGAAUCUCUUAAGUGAAAAGAUUGAGGUAGACAUAAGAGCGUGGCAUAUCUCCUCUAAGACCUUGUUCAUCCACACAGUCCCACUAUGGGGGAAGGGCUUUCAUCAACCGUGAGUGACUUAAUACAGGAUUGCAUACGUCUACAUAUGGUGCCCCCUUAUCUGCAGAGAUUAUGUUCUAAGACCCCACCCCCACCCCCCGUGGGCCCUGAAACCACAGAGGAUAGAAAACCAUACAUACGCUGUAUCCUUUCUAUCCAGACACCUUAAAUUAAAGGUUAGGAUGAGUUCACAGGAAGCAGCAGAAUGUUUAAAAACCCUGACACGGGAGUUUAGAGGUGACAUGUCACCGGAGAUAAGUGCUAUUUGGCAUUUGCAUGUGAGAGUCCUGAUUCAAUUAAUGUGUCCCAAACUAAAUUUGGAAGUUGAGAGUAUAUGUGUGCCAUACUGGGGGAUGGGCCCUCCUUUGCAGCCUGGACUGAACUCCAUACAAUGUUGUGGAAACAAAAGAGGUUCUUUUAAUAAAGCGGUGGACUUUG
rnacentral:lncRNA from 1 species